CCUACGUGCGGCAGCAGUGGGGAAUAUUGGACAAUGGGGGGAACCCUGAUCCAGCGACGCCGCGUGAGUGAAGAAGUAUUUCGGUAUGUAAAGCACUAUCAGCAGGGAAGAAAGAAAUGACGUUACCUGCCUAAGAAUCCCAGGCUAACUACGUGCCAGCCGCCGCGGUAAUACGUAGGGGGCAAGCGUUAUCCGGAUUUACUGGGUGUAAAGGGAGCGUAGACGGCGAUGCAAGUCUGAAGUGAAAGGCGGGGGCCCAACCCCUGGACUGCUUUGGCAACUGUAUGGCUGGAGUGCAGGAGAGGUAAGUAGAAUUCCUAGUGUAGCGGUGAAAUGCGUAGAUAUUAGGAGGAACACCAGUGGCGAAGGCGGCUUACUGGACUGUAACGGACGUUGAGGCUCGAAAGCGUGGGGAGCAAACAGGAUUAGAUACCCCAGUAGUC
rnacentral:rRNA from 1 species